UGGAAGCCCACCGCGGCAAACUUGCUGGCGCAAUAAUCCUGUCUCAGGUGGAAGAAACGCAGCCGUUUAUGCCAGAUUUGUUUUGAAAAGCAGCAUAAAUAGCUGUGUGAUGUUGGAAGUUGUGUUGCAGAUAGUCCUUCAGUCCCGGUUUACCUCGACGCAGCCCGUGCUGAAGAGGCCCAGCACGCUGGCGAUGGUCACGAUGUGGCCGUGAUCCUUGGCCUUCAUCUGAGGCAGGAAGGCCUUCACUGUCUGGUACACACACGGCAAUGUAGAGUCCCGGCUCUUAUUACCAGCGGUGGCCAUGGCAACGCUAGGAAGAAGUGACACAUCCCCGAUGGCGACGACACAAUUGGCUUCCCCAGUUGCACGCUAUGGGAAACCCCCAAUGUCGACGUGCAGGGAGGAUGA